rnacentral:rRNA from 1 species
UGUCUUGCACAUCACCGUAGAGUUUUUUGGGUGGGGAACGGGUUGAGUAGCACGUUGGGGUAACCUGCCCAGAAGAAGGGGAUAACAGUUGGAAACAGGUACUAGUACCGUAUAACAGCAAAGACCGCAUGGUCUUUGUUUAAAAGAUGGUUCUGCUAUCACUUCUGGAUGGACCCGCGGCGUAUUAGCUAGUUGGUGAGGUAAUGGCUCACCAAGGCAAUGAUACGUAGCCGAACUGAGAGGUUGAUCGGCCACAUUGGGACUGAGACACGGCCCAAACUCCUACGGGAGGCAGCAGUAGGGAAUCUUCCACAAUGGACGAAAGUCUGAUGGAGCAACGCCGCGUGAGUGAAGAAGGUUUUCGGAUCGUAAAACUCUGUUGUUAGAGAAGAACGUGUGUGAGAGUAACUGUUCAUGCAGUGACGGUAUCUAACCAGAAAGCCACGGCUAACUACGUGCCAGCAGCCGCGGUAAUACGUAGGUGGCAAGCGUUGUCCGGAUUUAUUGGGCGUAAAGGGAACGCAGGCGGUUUUUUAAGUCUGAUGUGAAAGCCUUCGGCUUAACCGAAGUCAUGCAUUGGAAACUGGAAGACUUG